UUGAAGGUGAAAUACAAAGGUAAAAUCAAAAGUAGACAAAAAUGGCCACUUAUAUCCUGGAGCCCAAAGGGUUAACUCAAUAAAGCAUGAAAAAUUAGGUUUCAAUUUUUGGUGAAAAACAUGUUCAUGACAGUGCAGAUUUCUGACAUUUUGUGUAAAUUUAAGCAUAUAACAAUUUGAUUAUUUCUAAUAAGUUAGACUUGUGUUUGUAAAUGAACCACCACAGUACAUAUAUAGAGUUAAAAAUUAAGAAAUGCUGAUUUGAGCAGCUUCAAAAACAUUAACCCCGGGUUCUUGUGUCUCAAGGUAGCACUGGAAAACUGCUCUGCCUGCCGGGCCAGCGUGCCACUUUGCCUUGCUCAUACCACUAUGAGGACCAGAUGCAUAUUUUCCAGCUAUCCAUACAAUGGAGGAGUCCUCUCAAUGAGCUGCUGUGUCACUAUAUCAAACACAAAGCCUUUCAGAACUGCACGGCUGGCUACACAAUCAGCUACAGCCCAGGCAACAUCACGCUUACCAUCCUGCAGGUCAGACGGGAGGACUUUGGGACUCACAUUUGUUCAGUGAGCAAACGGCAUGAGUUCUCUGACUACAGCAUUGAGCUGGCCAGAAUGUCAGAGUCUGUUACUUCAGCACCAACGGGUGGAAUGAAUCAGUCAGGCCUGACCUGGAGACUAAUUAUUCUUCAUGCUUUGGCGUGCUUGUUGGUUUGCACAUAGAAGAGGAAAUUUAUAUAUUUAUAUACAUUAACAGACACAAACCUGUAAAUUUACAUAGAAUCUAAAUCCCACCUGUCCAGCAGAGACCUAAAUAAAAACUUUGCCAAAGGAUACGUGUGUGCUCAAUCUUUUUCCAGAGGAUGUGAGAUGUUACUGUCAUUCCUUUGAAUUAGGUUG
ensembl:lncRNA